rnacentral:lncRNA from 1 species
CCACAUUAUACCCUCUUCCAGUCUUUCCCCUUGGCAGCCAUGUGACCUCAGGUGAACAAUACAGUUUCUUCCUGAGAAUCACAGGCUCUCAGCACAGCCCCUAGUGUGCCCACAGGAGAGUAUCCUUCACAGCUCUAUGCCAAGGACAAGUGGUUCCUGCUUGGAGUUAGAGGCAGGAUUAAAGUUUGCACCACCAUGCCUGUUGGUAUAUAUAAAUAGUAUGGUUAUCUAAACCAUCUUUCUCUGUGGGAGAAGAG